UGGAGGGGGAGUGAGGAUGGAAGAGAUGAGGACUGGCCAAUACAGUGCCUUGACUAUUGGUUAAAGGUUUCAUACCGUUCUUUUUCUCCGUCCUUCCCCCAAACAAUUACAUGAAAAGACGCCCUCCAGUACUGCAGUAAUUAAAUGUCCUCAUUAACUAAUUGAUUGUCUUGAGGUUAUUGAAUUUCGUAUUGAAUUCCGGGUGUUUGUGUGCCAGUGUGUGUCUGGCUGCUUUAACAGGGUUGCAUCAGAUACUCUAUGUUGUUAUGUGGAUGUGUGCUGUUGUCUAAAAAUAACAACUUGAAAAAAAAAUGUCCAGGUCAGGAGACGAAGCGUUGAGAAUGUCAUUUGUUUGGUAUGAAGGGAAACAUUUUUAAUUGAGAUAAUUGAAUGUACCUUGGUAGUACUGUGCACCUUCAUGUUUCAGAUACCCAGUACACACAUGUGCAAAACACACACAUGCAUACACAAACACACUCACAUCACGCCACCACACAUUAUGCUAUGGCCCGUGGCCUGCACACACCAAUACACACCUGUUGGUGGUAUCAAAGAAGCGACCACCUUAAGAGAAGUGAACGAUAACCCUGCAUAUAUUAUGUGUAAUUUGACUCGUUUUCCCCCUCAAUGUUAGAGAAAUAUUAUGAAAGCUAAUCCAAGCCUCUCCUCUCUCUCCCCUCCUCCACAUUCUCAUCUGUCCAGGAUAGUGAGGUAUGGGAUGGAGGGAUUAAUUCUCUUCCAUUGGCCAUGGGAAUGAUAGAUGGACAGAUGUGGGGAGAAGAAAGAGAGGGGCAAAGGAGAGAAGGGAAGUCAAGAGGUCCAUAAAUCUGACGGGAACCUGGUCUGCGUCACACAUUAAGAUCUCCCAGAGCCAUGAUAACCCAGGCUAGAAAUGCUCAGGUGUGAGGACGGAGGCUAUAGCAGAACCAGCCGGUAGAUCAUACUGUUUACAGUUGUGCUUACAAGAGUGACUGUUGGUUCCAUUGAUAGUGGGACACCUCUCUCCUUCCUCCCAAAGUGUGCACUUGUUCACAUUCCUUCACUGAUUUGAAAGAAAAUGACUGGAAUAUAGAAAUAUGGUGAAAACCCUCUAACCCAUGCCUCGACCAAUCCAAUGCCUUUAGAUUUGUGAGAAGUAGUGAACGUGUGUACACUUCAGGAGACAUUAUCAGGAAACAGCCAUUGUGUAGUUCUACGGUGCAGCGGAGUGGAGACUGGAG
rnacentral:lncRNA from 1 species